AUUGAACGCUGGCGGCAUGCUUUACACAUGCAAGUCGAACGGCAGCACGGGGUUUACCUGGUGGCGAGUGGCGAACGGGUGAGGAAUACAUCGGAACGUGUCUAUAAGUGGGGGGAUAACGCAUCGAAAGAUGUGCUAAUACCGCAUAAUCUCUCAGGAGAAAAGCAGGGGAUCGCAAGACCUUGCGCUUUAGGAGCGGCCGAUGCCUGAUUAGCUUGUUGGUAAGGUAAAAGCUUACCAAGGCUUCGAUCAGUAGCUGGUCUGAGAGGACGACCAGCCACACUGGGACUGAGACACGGCCCAG
rnacentral:rRNA from 1 species